AGUAAUGUCUGGGAAACUGCCUGAUGGAGGGGGAUAACUACUGGAAGCGGUAGCUAAUACCGCAUAACGUCGCAAGACCAAAGAGGGGGACCUUAGGGCCUCUUGCCAUCGGAUGUGCCCAGAUGGGAUUAGCUAGUAGGUGGGGUAAUGGCUCACCUAGGCGACGAUCCCUAGCUGGUCUGAGAGGAUGACCAGCCACACUGGAACUGAGACACGGUCCAG
rnacentral:rRNA from 1 species